CCUAAUACAUGCAAGUAGAACGCUGAAGGAGAAGCUUGCUUCUCUGGAUGAGUUGCGAACGGGUGAGUAACGCGUAGGUAACCUGCCUGGUAGCGGGGGAUAACUAUUGGAAACGAUAGCUAAUACCGCAUAACAGUAGAUGUUGCAUGACAUUUGCUUAAAAGGUGCAAUUGCAUCACUACCAGAUGGACCUGCGUUGUAUUAGCUAGUUGGUGGGGUAACGGCUCACCAAGGCGACGAUACAUAGCCGACCUGAGAGGGUGAUCGGCCACACUGGGACUGAGACACGGCCCAGACUCCUACGGGAGGCAGCAGUAGGGAAUCUUCGGCAAUGGACGGAAGUCUGACCGAGCAACGCCGCGUGAGUGAAGAAGGUUUUCGGAUCGUAAAGCUCUGUUGUAAGAGAAGAACGAGUGUGAGAGUGGAAAGUUCACACUGUGACGGUAUCUUACCAGAAAGGGACGGCUAACUACGUGCCAGCAGCCGCGGUAAUACGCAGGUCCCGAGCGUUGUCCGGAUUUAUUGGGCGUAAAGCGAGCGCAGGCGGUUAGAUAAGUCUGAAGUUAAAGGCUGUGGCUUAACCAUAGUACGCUUUGGAAACUGUUUAACUUGAGUGCAAGAGGGGAGAGUGGAAUUCCAUGUGUAGCGGUGAAAUGCGUAGAUAUAUGGAGGAACACCGGUGGCGAAAGCGGCUCUCUGGCU
rnacentral:rRNA from 1 species